CGCUAACACUCCACCCAGAAAAUGUACACUUUUCCCCGUGCUGAAACGGGAGCAAGCCGUAACACACUUCCUAAAUUCUUUCUCGCUCAUUACUUACCCCUCUUUUCCUCUAAAGAAGGAUAGAAAAGUUAAGAGAUUUUGAGAAAAUACCGAGUAGAAAUGAAGCGUUUUUGUCACACAAACAACAGACAUGCAGUCUCGCUGAAGAUAAUAAGGCUGUCGGUGUGGUUCACAGGAGCUAUAUAUAUCCUGCGACGCGCUUAAUUGCAACGUCACCUGAUCAUGUCAGGCCUAUAAGUAGAGGCAUGAUUUUACACAAGCUUCAGAUACCGGUCACGCGCGCAAGGCGUUCCCAUAAUGUUAUGCUAAAUGCAACGUUGAAGUUUCCUUUGAAAGGGAAGCCAUGUUUGUGCUGUAGUUUUGUGGAGAGGUUUCUCUGCCUGAUUCACAUAGAGAAAGCUCAUCACGUUAUAGAAUAAAGUUAAUAAGUGGAACCUGAACAUCAAUAGUAACUUUCACCGUUUGAGCAUGGUCUGGACUUUAAGUUCACUUGGAAAUCCUCUAUAAGUCAUUGGUCACGGUGGGAAAUAAGAUUAACCCAUCAGGAUCACGUUAGGAUCUAUAAUUACAUCAUCAUUUACACUCCGACUCCGUGUUGUUCAUGAUCAGGUGAUUUGUAGGAUUUAGAAAUCCGUCUCCAGAUUUUGAGUGAGUUUUAUGAACACGGUUACGUCCCUACACGCACCUCAGACAAGAUUUUUCACUUUAUUCGGUUUAUUCUAAUUCUGUAACCUUGACAACACUGUGACGUCAUGGCUCAGCCAGCAAUAAAACAUUCCACUCAGCUGGUCUUUGGUUUCUACAGACAGAUCCCUGAGAGACUUGUUUCUGCACGACAGAACGAUUUUCAAAGAUGAGGAGGAAUCACAAAAAGACACCUCAGCAUCAAGCUAUGCUGGGAUUAAGGAGUAGUAAAAUGGACAUAGUGUCCAGAACAAGAGAAGAAGCAGCGAUGACGAUCCCUCCAGAAUCGAGUAACAGGCCUACAAACCAAGAUUUCUUGCAGCAAACUGCACGACCUGAGGAAGUUCUGCAUAGAACGCCCAGAAUGGAUCCGAUUGGUCUUCCCCCAUUCAGAGCACCGGUGUGUGGGGAAAAGUUAAGCAAAACAACCAGCAAUCCUCAGGAACUUACAGGUACUACAGAGGUAAAGAGUAACUCUCUUGAGGCUACAAUUGAGGUAGAACCUCAAUUAAGAACCAACAUUACUGAUGCUGUCCUGGAUUGUAUAACCUCUACGUCGUUCAAGAAUCAGCUCGCUCUGCGCAUUGUGGGUGAGAUUGAUGAUAUACUAGCAAAAGCAGUGUCCCAGGUUCACGAGAAACAGCAUGCUGUGAGUUUCGAUACAGCAGAAGAUAAGACGAACAUCUCCCAGGAACAACAAUCGAGCAACAAUGAUUUCAUGCCUGGCUUCAGUGAUGGUGUGGCAUCUGUGCUUGGUUAUGCACUGAUAGAAGUUAGAGAACAUGUGAAAAAAACUUUUAGAAGCCAGUCACACAAAUUUCAGACAGUCUCACCCACGGCAUGCAAUUCUGUAACAGAAAUAGUGGACAGUGUCUUUGAAGGCAUGCUUGAUUCCUUGACUGCUCAACUGAAACCAGAUGUUUGCACUGAAAGGGAUCCUAGCAUGAUUGAUUCUCUUUAUAGUCAUGAGUUUGAUACAGUGUUUGAUAGUAUGCUUCCCAGCACUGACUCAGAUUUCAACCAGAGUCCAGUCCAUGAGCCAAGAGGAAGUGAUGAUGAGUCUAGCGUCACAACUCAGGAAAGUGAGACAUUAGACAUUGUGAAAGAGAGAGCUGACUCCCCAAGAAGAUCUACCAAAGUCCCGUUCUCCACAGUAUUUGACCAGUCUUUUGGACCUGAAGUUAAGGCCAAAGAUGAGGUUGAGGGCAUCUUGGCUGAUUCUGGAAGCAUGAGCCACCUUGAUGACCCUCUGACUUCAAGAAUCAAAUCUGACUCUGAUUCGGAUACAAGCGUUCUUGAGCUCACUGCUACUUCUGCAACAGAAAAUGUUGACCACAUGUCAAGAUCUGAUGAAGUAGCAGAAGAAGGACUUGUGGCUAAAUCAGAUGUUGAGCUUGAGCAAAUCAUGGCUGCUCCUUCUGAGGAAAACACUCCUUCUGACAUAACUUCCCAAAGCCUUGAGCUGAUUGGACACCAGGAAUGUGCUAGCCCUGUCCCUUCACCUUCUAGUGAUCAGCCAGAGGAUCUGCCAGCUCUUUGCCAAACAGAUUCUCUGAUGAAGAAGAUGGCAUCUUUGACCAGUCUCACCAAAAGCUAGAGAGUGAUGGCAAGCGUAGACUUUCUCUGACUGGCAUGGAAAUGGGUUCUUCUGGAAGCAGAAGUCGCCUUGAUGAGCCUCAGUUCAUCUGAAACUUACAACGCUGAAGAAGCUGCAGCAAUAUCAGCUGGAUACAAAGCACCUCCCCAAGAGGACUGUCGUGGGAAAUAAUCUUUCCAGCCUAACAAAAAGCUUCAGAGAUAGAGGGUUUGUAGAUGUCAAAAGUAAUUAAACUUUAUUGAAACAAUAAAGUGAGACAGUCUGCAGAAAGUCUAAAUUAUGCAACCACACACAGCCCUUUUUAUACCUUUCUCCACAGCAAACUCAUCUUAGGUGGGGUUUUACCUUUUCUCAUUAAAAAAAGACCAGUCUUCUUUGGCCACAAUUAAUUAUUCAAAUCUAUAUGUUAUCUUAAAUUUGUGGAGCAUGCGCAGUUAGUUGUUUUACUGGAAAAGGUUUUAUGAGGACAAGGUUUCUUUUUUUAAAAAAGAGUCUUUGUUUUUUGUUUCUCUCUGACCAACACUCCCUUCUUAUGUCUCAAUGAGCUUCUGUCUGUUUCUAUCUGCCAUCCUAGCUGAUAUCCACCUCCCUUCCUGAGCCCUUUCAUAUAAAAUGCAAUUAUUUCAAUACAAUAACAUGGAUAAUUACAAUGAAUGUAAUCUGCUGAACAGAAAUUAUAUGCUUUAAUAAAAAAUAAAAAAAAAACAGUUGU